ensembl:misc_RNA
UUGCCAGCCUUGAAGAAUGAUGUCCUCUAAUCACAGAACAGACACAGCAGUGGCAGCAGCAGUGCCAGCUUCCUCCCACUUCACCACCAAUGUGCUUCAGCCCUGGCCUGAACAAACCACUUCUGCUCCAUUGCCUGUAUUAUCCUUGCCCUCUAUGCACGGACUGUCAGCU